GGAAAAGGUCUGGGGAAUUUCCAUUUCUCAUUAAAAGGAGGGCUGCAGUGAGAACCCGCAAGAAGUAACAAAAUAUGAAGUAGACCUAACCCUGCUCUUGGAGAGUCUGUGCGUCCAAGAUGCAAGAGGCGUCGAGGUAGCAAGGUAGCUCCCACCUGUCGCUCUCCCACGGGCGCCGCGGCUAUGGCCGGAAGUAGCUGCACGGGAAUUGGCGGAAAGAAGCAAUCCGUCUCAGUGAAGCCCCAUCUUCCUGCCAUUUCCUGGUUGGAAGACCGCAACGUCAGUCACCACAUCAGGCUCCGCCCCCGGGACAGGUGAAGGUGAAGAUGACUGGUUUUUUAUGUUUGGAGGAUCUUAGCUCAUGCAAAGUCAAGAAUUCCUGAGAAACCACUGGACAGAAGCACAGACAGGAUCCAGGGCCAAAUCCAGACCUUUCACACAGAAAGGAAAAGACACUUACCACCGAGGGGAAGAGGCGGCUGUUCUUUACAUGCCUCAGGGCAGUGGCACAAAGGAAAGAAGUAAAGAAGAGGAGAAGGGAGAAGAAGGCGAUGUCUGGCACCGUGUGACAGCUGGGGCCGCGAGGGUGGCCUCCUUGCUGGAUGCACUCAGAUGGAGGCAGGAAGGAAGCAUUGACCAGGCCUGGGUGCUGAAAUGGGCAACAGAGGACUCGUCCCACUCUCUCGGACCCACCUCAAAGGAAGGGGAACCCACAGAGACAUCAGGGACUCAGGAUGGGCCAUAGGCUAAAUGGAAGAAACCAGUGAAGCUUUCUUCUGAGGGUGGGGAGAGCUGAAGACCACUCCCUCUGUUCUUUCUCAGACCUUUUUAAGCUCUCACCACGCUUAAGACAUCCUCUGUGUCUUUGAGCUUUGUACUUGUCCAUUCAGACCUGUUUCCUGGGAAGCAGAGAAUUCAGGUGUAAGCCCUCCUUCCUUGAAAAACUCUUCCCCACAGGAGUCUGUCUAACUUGUUCUACCUAAACUAAAAAGGUCUUAAUUCCAA